ACGGUCGCAAGACUAAAACUCAAAUGAAUUGACGGGGGCCCGCACAAGCGGUGGAGCAUGUGGUUUAAUUCGAUGCAACGCGAAGAACCUUACCUGGCCUUGACAUAGUAGAGACUUUCCAGAGAUGGAUUGGUGCCUUCGGGAAUCUACAUACAGGUGCUGCAUGGCUGUCGUCAGCUCGUGUCGUGAGAUGUUGGGUUAAGUCCCGCAACGAGCGCAACCCUUUUCCUUACUUGCCAGCAUUUCGGAUGGGAACUUUAAGGAUACUGCCAGUGACAAACUGGAGGAAGGCGGGGACGACGUCAAGUCAUCAUGGCCCUUACGGCCAGGGCUACACACGUGCUACAAUGGUCGGUACAAAGGGUUGCUACCUCGCGAGAGGAUGCUAAUCUCAAAAAGCCGAUCGUAGUCCGGAUCGCAGUCUGCAACUCGACUGCGUGAAGUCGGAAUCGCUAGUAAUCGCGGAUCAGAAUGCCGCGGUGAAUACGUUCCCGGGCCUUGUACACACCGCCCGUCACACCAUGGGAGUUUGUUGCACCAGAAGUAGGUAGUCUAACCGCAAGGAGGACGCUUACCACGGUGUGGCCGAUGACUGGGGUG
rnacentral:rRNA from 1 species